CGGCGGACGGGUGAGUAACGCGUGAGUAACCUGCCUAGUACAAAGGGAUAGCCUCGGGAAACCGGGAUUAAUACCAUAUGACACUAAUCUACCGCAUGGUAGAAUAGUUAAAACGAUUAAGUGGUACUAGAUGGACUCGCGUCUGAUUAGCUAGUUGGUGAGAUAAAAGCUCACCAAGGCAACGAUCAGUAACCGGCUUGAGAGAGCGAACGGUCACAUUGGAACUGAGACACGGUCCAAACUCCUACGGGAGGCAGCAGUGGGGAAUAUUGCACAAUGGAGGAAACUCUGAUGCAGCGACGCCGCGUGAGUGAUGAAGGUCUUCGGAUCGUAAAACUCUGUCCUUUGGGAAGAUAAUGACAGUACCAUUGGAGGAAGCCCCGGCUAACUACGUGCCAGCAGCCGCGGUAAUACGUAGGGGGCGAGCGUUGUCCGGAAUUAUUGGGCGUA
rnacentral:rRNA from 1 species